CGGACUGCAGUCUGCAACCCGACUGCACGAAGCCGGAAUCGCUAGUAAUCGCGGAUCAGAAUGCCGCGGUGAAUACGUUCCCGGGUCUUGUACACACCGCCCGUCACACCACGGGAGCCGGAAAUGCCCGAAGUCGGUGACCCAACCGCAAGGGGGGAGCCGCCGAAGGCAGGUCCGGUGACUGGGGUGAAGUCGUAACAAGGUACC
rnacentral:rRNA from 1 species